AGGGUUGGCAAGGAACCUAGCAGCAGCAUGAGCCGUAUCGUUGACACGCAAAAGACGAGACAAUAAGUUACUAAAGAUUGCGGCAGUCUCAGAUUUGACUUGGAGAAGACAAGAUGAAUGAGAAGCGUAUAUGCUGGAUAUGUGAUUAACGAGAUUCUCAGCUAAAUGACGCAGUAGCACCAAGACUGGCGGAGGUACCACUUGAAGAGUCAUAGGGAAUAGCAACUUCAGUAUUUCCCUGUACAUAACGGUAUCAGAACGCUCAAUCCAUUUCGUGAAAUAAGGAGAGGACAGCAAAGCUAAAAGAGAAGGAGAGAGGGAAUUGGGAAAGUUAGAGAUCUCGGACAGAAAUUGCUUGAGAUGCAUAUACCGGACUGAUUCAAUUAGAGUAAUGCAAUGCGAAGAAUAAAUGUUCAUUAAUGCAGAUUUCGCCUCGACAUUAUCGUAUGGACCAUUUAAAUAAUAGUCAAUAGGAGGUAAGGAAAAUGAAGACACGUCUAAUGAUGGGAUCCAAGGAAGCUUAUGAGGAGGCAAGAAUUUAAGUUUAAGUUUGAAGAAUAGGGAAUGUUGAAGAUUAAAAUCUUCUUGUGCAGAAGCAGGAUGCAAGGUAGGUACUAUCGAAGAAGUACCGGGUACAAACGAAGAAGAAAACUGAGGCAUGGGUUGAGAAAAAUAGGUCGGUUGGGACACAGAACGGGGUGGUGCAGGUGAAGGUACCGAAGAAUGAGAAAGUUGUGGCGGAACAUUGGAUUGUGAAAGAUGUGAAGGUAGGGGAUGGGCUUGUGGAGCAGCAAAAGAAGGAGCCAAUUGCAAAUUGGUUUGACUUCCUAGCAAAGGUAUAGAAGGAGGAGGCGAAUUGUAAGGAUCUGAUGAAGGGGUGACAGCGGAUUUUCUAACUAUAGCCGCAGCAUUAACCGAUGCAGGGCUGCUUUCUACACGCUGAUUUGUGUUUUGAAUAGAAGAAACAUCGUUUUCAAAAUGAUUGGGAAUAGGUUUGGGAAACGAAGAACAGGAAACGGGGGAAAGACUUGAAUCUGAAAAG